rnacentral:rRNA from 1 species
UACAGAGGGGGCAAGCGUUGUUCGGAAUUACUGGGCGUAAAGGGCGCGUAGGCGGCCUUCUAAGUCGAACGUGAAAUCCCCGGGCUCAACCCGGGAACUGCGUCCGAUACUGGAAGGCUUGAAUCCGGGAGAGGGAUGCGGAAUUCCAGGUGUAGCGGUGAAAUGCGUAGAUACCUGGAGGAACACCGGUGGCGAAGGCGGCAUCCUGGACCGGUAUUGACGCUGAGGCGCGAAAGCCAGGGGAGCAAACGGG